rnacentral:misc_RNA from 1 species
UUAAGUUCAGCGGGUAUUCCUACCUGAUCCGAGGUCAACCUUGUAAAGUAAAAGGGGUAGACCGGCCCGGAGGGACCUUGAAACUCGACGCGUGCUAAUGAAAGCUCGUUGCACCGAGGGUCCCACGGACGCCGUCAUUGUCUUUGAGACCAGUUGGCCGAGGGCGGCCAACUUGGGUCCAACACCAAACCCGAGGUUUG